GACGUAGGAGGCGAACGUUAUCCGGAUUUAUUGGGCGUAAAGAGAGCGUAGGCGGCUUUUUAAGUCAAGUGUGAAAUCUUGUGACUCAAUCAGAAGAAGCCGCUUGAUACUGGAAGGCUUGAGGGAAGCAGAAGGAAAUGGAAUUCCCAGUGUAGCGGUGAAAUGCGUUGAUAUUGGGAAGAACACCAGUGGCGAAGGCGAUUUCCUAGGCUUUUCCUGACGCUGAGGCUCGAAAGCGUGGGGAGCGAAGCGGAUUAGAUACCCCCGUA
rnacentral:rRNA from 1 species